UGGGGAAUAUUGCGCAAUGGGCGAAAGCCUGACGCAGCAACACCGCGUGAGGGAUGACGGCCUUCGGGUUGUAAACCUCUUUCAGCUCCGACGAAGCGAAAGUGACGGUAGGAGCAGAAGAAGCACCGGCUAACUACGUGCCAGCAGCCGCGGUAAUACGUAGGGUGCAAGCGUUGUCCGGAAUUAUUGGGCGUAAAGAGCUCGUAGGCGGUCCGUUGCGUCUGCCGUGAAAACCCGGAGCUCAACUCCGGGCCUGCGGUGGAUACGGGCGGACUAGAGUCCGGUAGGGGAGACUGGAAUUCCUGGUGUAGCGGGUGGAAUGCGCAGAUAUCAGGAGGAACACCGGUGGCGAAGGCGGGUCUCUGGGCCGGAACUGACGCUGAGGAGCGAAAGCGU
rnacentral:rRNA from 1 species